CCUGUGGGGGCUGGCUUUACCCAGUUUGAAGGCACAAAAAAACAGACUCUCACGAUAAACACAGCAACACAAAAGCAACAUGAAACCUGUGUAUCUAUUACUCCUCUGCUCUAAUGUGGUAUGUCCAGUGAAACACUCAUUGGUUAGUUUUGACACUGGUUCCUCUGGAAACCCAAACAUCUCUGAGUUUGUGGGUUUCCCAGUAAUUGAUGGCAUUCAGAUGGCUUACUACUGUGACAGCAGCAACAAGAUACUGGAAGCAAGACAGGACUGGGCGAAGAAAAUAUUAGAUACCAACCCUCAGAUGUUGGAGUCGCUCACUGAUUAUUGUUUUGUGGAUCGGCCAAAUCUAUUCAGAUUAUGGAUUUCUAGUUUGAAGCAGCAGUUAAACCAAAGCAGAGCUGUCCAUAUUUUACAGAUGAUAGAAGGCUGUGAAUGGGAUGAAAACACCGGAGAGGUUACGGGGCUUUUACAGUACGGAUAUGAUGGAGAAGACUUUCUUAAAUUGGAUCUGAAGACGCUGACGUGGAUCGCACUGAAACCAGAGGCUGACAUUAUCAAACAGAGUUGGGAUGCUGACACAACCAGAAUGAAAGACCGUGAAAAAAUCCUCACUAAGAUUUGUCCAGAGUGGCUGAAGAUGUACGUGGAGAGUGGCAACAGCUCUCUGCAGAGAACAGUUCUUCCCUCAGUGUCUCUCCUCCAGAAGACUCCCUCCUCUCCAGUCAGCUGCCACGCUACAGGUUUCUAUCCUAACAGACCCUUGAUGUUCUGGAGGAAAGAUGGAGAGGAGCUCCAUGAAGGUGUGGAUCCUGGAGAGAUCCUCCCAAACAAUGAUGAGACCUUUCAGAUGAGUGUUGAUCUGAAUAUUUCAUCAGUCACACCUGAAGACUGGGGGAGGUACGACUGUGUGUUUCAGCUCUCUGGUGGUGAGGACAUCCUUGUCACCAAACUCGAUAAAACUAGUAUCAGAACAAACUGGGGGAAAAAAAUAUUUAACACUGAUGAAGAGACGUCCUCUGACAUGCUGUUCAACACCAUCGCUGCAGUCGUUGUUUUUGUUGUUCUCAUUCUCAUUGCUGCUGCUGGAUUUGCUGUUUGGAAAAAGAGGAAAGACAGACGGCCAACAUCUUGUAAGUUCCCCUUCCUUGUCUCACUUUGUGACAUGCACUCUGGAUUUAAAACUAGGAUCUUAAUAAUAUUACCAAUGGAUUUAUUCCCAUCCUUUUUCAAGACAUUUGCUUCAGAUUCCUUUAUUAUCAUACAGAUCUGUUUAAUACUGUGAUGCAUCAAACACUCUGGUUUUAAUCAAGCAUUUAAUAUUAGACCAAGAUAAGCUGAGUAAAAGAAAAUUGCAGUUUUUAAAUUGUUUUAUUCAUUAACGGAAAAAAGAUAUCCAAACCUAGACUCUGAAUGAAUAAGUUGAUUUUCUUAAGUAAACUUUUUUGAGGCAACGACUUUGCACAAUUUUUUUAAGGGAACUAAUUAGAUUUUACAGUGUAUCUGUCACUAUGUAAAAAAACAACUUGUGACUUUUUUAUGAUUUGCAGCAAAACAUGGUGCCAGGUUAACCUUCGCAUGCAUGAACCAUGUCUGUUUGUGCCUUAGAGUGAAAAAGAUAAUUAUUUUUUAUUAAUGAAUUCUUGCUGAUGCAGUUUCUCUUUCUUAUUUAUAGUCUAGCUCACUUGCUCUGCCUCACUUGAACUGAAAAAUUGAGAGGUUUUCAUUUUUACUUAUUGAGCUGCGGAGCAUUUUACAAACAGAUAAAAAGAAAUCCAGACUGAAGGUUUUUGAUUUUUCUUUUCAGCUCCUGACAAAGGAUCUGAGCUGUCAGAGCGACUAAAUCAACAAGGCUGACUGUCGUGUCUCCCUUCCCACCACAUCUCAAAAGGUUCUCUAUUAGACUGAGAGCCGGUGACUGCAGAGGGCAUUACAGACUCAGUAACUCGUGAACUCACUUUGUGACAUGUCGUGUUAUCCUGCUGGAAGGACAACAUGUUGACACGCUUGGUCAUAAAGGAGUGGACACGGUGAGCAACAUAUAUAUCCUCCAUUGCCAACACCAUUAACCAGCAGCAGAACAUCAGUCUUAUUUGCGAUAUGCAUUUCUGGACUCUUUAUGUUUGGUAAACUACCCCCUGAAGGUGGGGGUUUGUGAUUGGUUAAACUUGUUUCUCUUCUGUUUGUUUUCAGCCUAGCAUCCACAGUUUUCAAGAUCUCAUGUUCAAAUUUUGUGUGACAUGUCAUUAUGGUUGACAGCAAUGACAGCUUAAGCUGAUGUAAUUUUGUAAAAACUGUGUCUAGGUCAAGGCCACGCCCUUAAGCAGGAGUUGUGCUCUCUGAGUGCUUCUGCACUUCAGGUGCCCUGGCUAACAUUUCUUUCCAAAAAACACUGAACAAACAGGAGGACUCGGAGAGCGCAGCGCCCCACGGAUGGCAAGGGUUAUACUAAAACUUUACUGCUGUUGUUUGAUGUCUUCAUUACAACAUGCUGAAUUGGCUGAAAUCUUUCUAUAAGCUAUAAAAACCUGAGAUGAUUCCCUUAUGCCCAGAUGAACAGAAUCAACUUUUGGAGAUUUACUUACCUGGAUGAUUGAGCAUGCAUCAAGAUGUAACUCUUCAUUGUUUGUAAGCUUUAGAAGCAUUAUAUUACAGUUUGUUUUGUGCACAUAGUCACGGCGGUUUUGAGCCUCAGUUUUGUAUUGUAUAACAGCCAUUGAGCUAACGGCAGGAGCUAGAAAUGUUGCUAUUAUUAUCCAUUUGGUGAGGAAACAUGUUCCGAUAUAUGUUUAGUAACCACUUUAGUAUUUUGGUUUAUUAUUUAGCUUUUGCUUCCACUCUGUGACAUUGAGCAGUACAGGAUGUGAAAUAUUUAUGUUCAUUUUCAUUGCAAUAAACAACUGCAUGAGAGAAGCAA